rnacentral:rRNA from 1 species
UACAGAGGGUGCGAGCGUUAAUCGGAAUUACUGGGCGUAAAGCGCACGUAGGCGGCUUGGUAUGUCGGGUGUGAAAUCCCCGGGCUCAACCUGGGAACUGCAUACGAAACUGCCUUGCUCGAGUAUGGGAGAGGGAAGCGGAAUUUCCGGUGUAGCGGUGAAAUGCGUAGAGAUCGGAAGGAACAUCAGUGGCGAAGGCGGCUUCCUGGAUCAAUACUGACGCUCAGGUGCGAAAGAGUGGGGAGCAAACAGG